rnacentral:lncRNA from 1 species
CCGUCAAGAGGGCCUGAUCGGAAUCCAUCGUAUCGAUCGUCUCGCCUGUGUCCUGUCCUGUGCCUGUGCUGUCUGUAUCGACUGGUGGUGCUAUAUCCCCUGUGUGUUAAUUGAUUUUGGAGAAUGUUCAGACGUAUAUCUAUGUCUAAGAAAUGGAGUUCGAGUUAAACUUUGCUGAGACUUCUCUUGUCUAUAUAAUAUUAUUAGUAGGAAUCAAUCUUCAAUCCCUGAUUUAUUCAGAUGCUACUCUUUGCACAAGACUAGUUUAGUCACUACAUGAAGGUUGAUUUACACCGACUCACAGUUGAAUGCUAAAAGCGCCUUUAGCGACUUAGGUUAGUAACUAAAGACUUUUAGCGACAUAUAAAGACGGUCGCUGUAAGUGUGGUCACUAAAGGCUUUAGCGACCGACAUCUGUUUAGUGAGGAUCGUCCGUUGCUAAUUAUUAUACUAUACAUUUACCAACAAACAGAAAGUUACCAUAUUUACCGUUAUUAUUAAUAAUAUACAAUUAAUGAUACAUACAAAGCGCCAUAAACCAUAGAUUUUUUAUACACAUAAUCAUAUACACAAUUAAUUAGUAUUUCACAAUCAUAGGGCCAUAUUUACAAAAGCACCACACUUAUAUUAUUCAGAGCUACAUCACUAACACAGGCCACACAUGUUAUCGUAUUUUGUACAUGUAUUUACAAACAUUUUAUAAAAUCAUUCACAAAAGAACUAAAGCUUUUUCAAUCUGUACCGCCGCUCUUCAAAUCCGCCUGGACGGAUCCCUCCGCUCUCCAAUCGGUCGGAGCAGGAGCCUGAAGCAUGCCAGCACCUUUGGAGCAAGGGCCGGGACAGGACGACCUCCGUGGUGGCUCAAAGCUUGCGGAGUCUCUCCAUCGUCGCCUACAUCCACUGCCAGGAAGCGAAGUCUUCCGACUUCAGCACGAGCGCGCGACAGAGAGAGAAGGCGAUGGCUACUAGCGACCCCUAAAUCGAGACAAGGGGUGAGGGGAGAAGGGGGAGCCACUGCACUCAACUGCAGAAGACCUGCGUGCGCCGCCAGUCAGAGAGUCGUGUCGUCGUGCUAAGAAUGUGUUCAGCGGUUCCCACUAAAUUUCUCCCUCUAUAUCCCACUCAUAUACCACGUUAGUUUUCUCUUCCCUCAUAUAUCUCCACGCUGUACAGCGGUUCCCCCUAUAUCAAACCUCUAUAUCUCACUAAAACCAUAAAAUAACAUUUUCUAUAUAUUUUCAUCAUUUAUUACCAUUUUUCUUUCAACUAGCAAAUACUGGCGCUCACCAACUUUGAGAUAAGGAGGCGGACUAGCGUGCCCCUCGAUCUGGUGAACUUCUCUGCUCCACCCUACUACUGUAUCGCAUAUAGGAGUAUUUAGCGUCGAACGCUGAAGUCCAAGAGCGACGCUAAAGGCAUACAGGGCAAGGGGAGGGAACACCGUUGAAGACGGUCUAAGUCGCGCACAUAUUGGAUGGGAGAUAGGGAGGGGGCAGGAUUGAUAGCCAGCUGUUGGGCCAACCCUAACCAUAUGGGCCUAGUUUUUUUAGCGACUAAGACUGACUCCAACAGGGCAGCUAAAUGGACAUGCAAAGCCAAAAUAGUUGUUCACGAGCUACUGUAGCAGUACAAAA